rnacentral:rRNA from 1 species
AAUGAACGUUGGCGGCGUGCCUUACACAUGCAAGUCGAACGGCAGCACGGGAGCAAUCCUGGUGGCGAGUGGCGAACGGGUGAGUAACGCAUCGGAACGUGCCCAGUCGUGGGGGAUAGCCCGGCGAAAGCCGGAUUAAUACCGCAUACGACCCAUGGGUGAAAGCGGGGGACCUUUCGGGGCCUCGCGCGAUUGGAGCGGCCGAUGUCAGAUUAGGUAGGUGGUGGGUAAAGGCCUACCAAGCCGACGAUCUGUAGCUGGUCUGAGAGGACGACCAGCCCCACUGGGACUGAGACACGGCCCAGACUCCUACGGGAGGCAGCAGUGGGGAAUUUUGGACAAUGGGCGCAAGCCUGAUCCAGCCAUGCCGCGUGCGGGAAGAAGGCCUUCGGGUUGUAAACCGCUUUUGUCGGGGAAGAAAUACGCCGGGCUAACAUCCUGGCGGGAUGACGGUACCCGAAGAAUAAGCACCGGCUAACUACGUGCCAGCCGCCGCGGUAAAAC